GACGAACGCUGGCGGCGUGCUUAACACAUGCAAGUCGAGCGGUAAGGCCCUUUCGGGGUACGACGAGCGGCGAACGGGUGAGUAACACGUGGGUGACCUGCCCUCAGCUCUGGGAUAAGCCUGGGAAACCGGGUCUAAUACUGGAUAUGACUCCAUGACGCAUGUUGGUGGGGUGGAAAGCCUUGUGCGGCUGAGGAUGGGCCCGCGGCCUAAUCAGCUUGUUGGUGGGGUGACGGCCUACCAAGGCGACGACGGGUAGCCGGCCUGAGAGGGCGACCGGCCACACUGGGACUGAGAC
rnacentral:rRNA from 1 species